GCCAAGCGCCUCUGCUUGUUCCAACGCGUGUUUCCUUACAAAAUUUUGCUCUACAGGCUCAUCUAGCUCCGCCACCAUCUUGAUAGCUCGGUCAAGAAGGUUCAUCUGUCAAGAUAAUUCAAGGAAGAAACACCAUGAGAGACCAACCAACAAGAAUCUAAAUGAAAGAAGAGAGAAAGCUUUUAUCUGGUUACCUGGUUGAUAAAGAGAUCACGGAAGACCCCUGAGCAGUUAACAACUACAUCGAUCCUCGGCCUUCCUAGUUCUUCUAAGCUCACAGGCUCGACACGGUUCACUCUUCCAAAAGUAUCAGCAAUUGGUCUCACACCAAUCAUCCAAAGAACCUGCCCAAGAGACUCCCCAUAUGUUUUGAUGUUGUC
rnacentral:lncRNA from 1 species